AGGGUUUGAUCAUGGCUCAGAACGUACGCUGGCGGCACGCCUAACACAUGCAAGUCGAACGAAGUAGCAAUACUUAGUGGCAGACGGGUGAGUAACAUGUAGGUAUCUGCCCUUUGGCCUGGAAUAACACGAGGAAACUUGUGCUAAUACCGGAUAAGUCUUUACGGAGAAAGCUUUAUGCACCAUUGGAUGAGCCUGCACUUGAUUAGUUUGUUGGUGGGGUAAUGGCCUACCAAGACUGUGAUCAAUAGCUGAUUUGAGAGGAUGAUCAGCCACAUUGGGACUGAGACACGGCCCAAACUCCUACGGGAGGCAGCAGUGGGGAAUCUUGCACAAUGGAGGAAACUCUGAUGCAGCGAUGCCGCGUGAGUGAAGAAGGCCCUUGGGUUGUAAAGCUCUUUCGUCGGGGAAGAAAAUGACUGUACCCGAAUAAGAAGGUCCGGCUAACUUCGUGCCAGCAGCCGCGGUAAUACGAAGGGACCUAGCGUAGUUCGGAAUUACUGGGCUUAAAGAGUUCGUAGGUGGUUGAAAAAGUUAGUGGUGAAAUCCCAGAGCUUAACUCUGGAACUGCCAUUAAAACUUUUCAGCUAGAGUAUGAUAGAGGAAAGCAGAAUUUCUAGUGUAGAGGUGAAAUUCGUAGAUAUUAGAAAGAAUACCAAUUGCGAAGGCAGCUUUCUGGAUCAUUACUGACACUGAUGAAACG
rnacentral:rRNA from 1 species